UUUUGAUUGCACGAUAACGUCAGAUAGAUGCUGCUGCGAAUUCUGCUGCUAUCGAGCCAAUCAAAACC
rnacentral:pre_miRNA from 1 species